CCCUCUUACGUCAUUGAAAAAAUUCCGCGGGACCUUGAGCGGGGAAUCGCACCCAAUCCGGAAGCUAACACGGGUAAUUUCGACGGUAACGUAAUGAAAAACAGAUUCAACACUCAUUUUGAAAAAUUUUAAAAAAUACCGCCGCCGGAACAAAAAAUUGAGAAUGCCCCUUUAUCAGAUCUUAUCGAUUCUGAAAAAAUGUGAAAGACUCUUUUCUCCACGCAUUUCAUCCGCACGUUGGAGGUAAACGAUUUAUGGCUUGCGAAUGAAAACUUCGAGAGGGAAUUGGGAGCAACGACCGGGGCACGACCGGGGGUAUGAGCCAACCAGGUCGAUAUACAAGCGUUGGAACAUCUUGUUGGAGAUGGACAAUUUUUGAGACCAUAUCGAAGACGUUACCAAAGUUUAGAGAAAAAAGGAAUAUCCAGUUCAGAAGAAUGAAAAUCAGCAAUGGUUCAAACAGCAAAACGACUAGUGUCAAAUGAGAUAAAUUUGGUCAAUGAUAAGAGAUCAAAUAUUAAAAUGAUGCUUCAGGAUUAUCUGAAGCUUCAAGAAUUGUGGUGCAGAUCGAUGAACAGUGGAAGACAUCAGCACCUAAUCAGGACCAAAGGCAAGGCG